GGUGAGUGUAGCUUAAUAAAAAGCGCUUUAUUGAAAAUGAAGAAGAUAGCUUAAUAGUUCGUCACC
rnacentral:tRNA from 1 species